rnacentral:misc_RNA from 1 species
GUAAAAUUUAUUUCCCAUUUGUUGUUUUGUAUGUGAAUUUUGUUGAUCCUGUAUCCUGGCGCUUAUAUUUUCAAAUCUGCUUUAUAUUUUUUUAUGUGGAUACCCUGAUCUCAAGGGGAAAUUUUUCUCAAGAAGAACGGAACUUUUGAGUACAAUGUCGAUUUUCAAAAUGAACUUUACCCUUCGAUUUUCAAAAUGAACUUUACCCUUGACAUUGGAGUGAUUUGAUUAUCUUUUGACAGAAGAUUUGUCUCUGAAAAUGGGAAUCUAAUUUUAAGUUAUCUUUGAAGAUCCAAUGAUUUGAUGAUCUUUUGUGCAUUAUAGUUUUCCUAGCCCAAAAGACAAAAGAACAAAAUUAUAUGUUGACAAUUUGAACUGAAAAAUUACUAAAUCUACAAGUGCACAAAAAUAGCAGCUUUUGUCUACUCUUGACAGUAUUAAAUUGACAUAGUAAUUUCUUGCUAGGAACGUAUUUGAUUUAUGUUCUCAAUUCUCACAUGAAGGGUAUGAAAGGUUACUCUAUGGUGUUUAAUUAGAAGAAUUUAUAUCCCCAUCUCUUCCUCUGAAGAUCAAUGGUGUUGCUUUGGCUCACAUCAUAACAUAUAUACCUGAAGAUUUUCUUUGAUUGUAAUAUUCUAAUUGCCUGCACUGAUUUGAUCAUGUUAUUGCAGGUUGCUUACCUAAUUUGAGUGUAAUGAUUUAUGUUGUUCUUGUCUAAGGCUUCUAAAUAUGAAGAAGGAAAAUGUGCUUCCUACUAAUUUUGGAGAUAUUAAUGGUCGAAUAACACGUUCACGGGCAGCUGCCCUGCAUGCAUCUAGCAGGAUGCCAUCUUUGAGGGCAUAUGCACAACAAGGUCAGAAGCAUAUUUCACGAGCAAAAUCAAAAAGAGCAGCCUUGGAUGAGAACAACACCACUGCACCUGAAAAUGCAGGCACUGAGCCUAAGAGGAGAGCAGUGCUUCAGGAUGUCACAAAUGUUUGCUGUGAGAAUUCAUAUAGGAGUUGUUUCAAUGCAACUAGAAUUCAGGCUAAGAAUGGAAAGCAGGCAAAAAAGAGUCAGCUCAAUGUGUCCAAAGUGGCUCCUUCACUUUCUGUAGAAGUUCCAAAUCUUCAAGCUAACUUAAAGGCUAAAACUGUUCAAGAAACCAUACAAAUAGAGCCUAAAUCAGAAGUUACUUGUUCAACGACUUUUGAGAAAGAUGUGCAUUCUCAGCUAAGUAACAUGAGAGAGUUUGGCACAAGUAACCACUGGCCUCCAAAACAAAGUUCCAGAAUGCCAUCACAACCCAGCAGUCCUCUGAAGAAAGUGGAGAAACGUGGCCUUAUUAACAGUGGGAUGAAAUCAAGUGACCCAGACUUUACAGACAUCGAUUGUGAUCACAAGGAUCCUCAACUCUGUAGCCUCUAUGCUGCUGACAUCUAUAGCAACUUACAUGUUGCUGAGCUUGUCCGAAGGCCAAAUUCUACUUACAUGGAAACUAUACAGCGGGAUAUCACUCAAAGCAUGCGCGGGAUUCUGGUUGAUUGGCUUGUGGAG